GUGAGGUGAGGUGAGGUGAGGUUAGACUUGGUUAGGUUAGGGUAGGUUAAGUUAGGUUAGGGUAGGUUAAGUUAGGUUGCAUUUUGGUUAGGGUAGGUUAAGUUAGGUUAUAUUUUGGUUAGGGAAGGUUAAGUUAGGUUAUAUUUUGGUUAGGGUAGGUUAAGUUAGGUUAUAUUUUGGUUAGGGAAGGUUAAGUUAGGUUGCAUUUUGGUUAGGGUAGGUUAAGUUAGGUUGCAUUUUGGUUAGGGUAGGUUAAGUUAGGUUGCAUUUUGGUUAGGGAAGGUUAAGUUAGGUUGCAUUUUGGUUAGGGUAGGUUAAGUUAGGUUAUAUUUUGGUUAG